UGCCAAGGACAAGCUGGGAGGGUGUUUGCGAGGGAAGGGGGUAGAAGGAGCUCUUGAUGUGCUUUUUUUACUUCUUCAUCCCACAGAAUUGCCACGAGAGGAAAUACUUCAGAGGGGCUUCCCUCCAGAUAAGGCCUGAAGAUGCCAGGAGGUUUCAGCCGGGAGGAAAGGAGCUGUGGAAGAAAAGCAGCCUAAAAACAGCCAGUGGGGAUCAUCAGGUUUUCCAGCCAAGAAGAACAAGGAGAGAGAUGAGGGAAUCGGGUUCCAAUUCCUAAUGCUUUGGAAGUGGGCUGGGACAAGGGACUUGGCUCCCACGAGGCCGAGGAUCAGAGCGGGCUGUGCACAGGGGACGACUUCCACUUCCGAACGGGGAAGGGCCCCUUCGUGCCCACCCCUGGCAAACUGGGACAGAGUAACAUCUGCCUGCAGCUGGCUGGAGUUCCCGUUGGCUCUGGGCUUUCUGCCCACGGGCCAGGGAUCAUGGCCAGAGUCCUUCAAACCUGGGGCACAGUGGCCUUCACACCAUCCCUGCAGCCCGUCCAGGCCAGGCUGCUGCCCAUCGGCCCCUGAUCGCAGGUGGAUGUAGAAGUGAUGGUGUUUAGGGAAUGCUGAUUGUAUUUCCCUGACUUUAGCCAUGUGGUCAUUAAAAAGAGAAAAAUAACAAGU